rnacentral:rRNA from 1 species
UAAGGCGUUGAAGCAGUGUACGUCAGACUUCCAAGAAAAGCUCGCAAUGUCAUAAAUUAAAAAUGCCUGUACCAUAACCGACACAGGUGGGUAGGUAGAGUAUACUAAGGGGCGCGAGAUAACUCCCUCUAAGGAACUCGGCAAAAUGACUCCGUAACUUCGGGAGAAGGAGUGCCUUAUUUAUAAGGUUGCAAUAACAAGAUCCAAGCAACUGUUUAUCAAAAACACAGGUCUCCGCUAAGUCGUAAGACGAUGUAUGGGGGCUGACGCCUGCCCAGUGCCAGAAGGUUAAAGAAGUUGGUUAGUGUAUGCGAAGCUGAUGACUGAAGCCCUGGUGAACGGCGGCCGUAACAAUAACGGUCCUAAGGUAGCGAAAUUCCUUGUCGGGUAAGUUCCGACCCGCACGAAAGGCGUAAUGAUUUGGAUACUGUCUCGGAGAGAGGCUCGGUGAAAUAGACUUGUCUGUGAAGAUGCGGACUACCUGCACCAGGACAGAAAGACCCUAUGAAGCUUUACUGUAACUUGAAAUUGGAAUUGGACUUUGCUUGCGCAGUAUAGGUGGGAAGCGUUGAAGAUAUUCUUGCGGGAGUAUUGGAGCUAUCAGUGAGAUACCACUCUUGUAAUGUUAGAUUUCUAACUUUGAACCAUAAUCUGGUCAAAGAACAGUUUCGGGUGGGCAGUUUGACUGGGGCGGUCGCCUCCCAAAUGGUAACGGAGGCGUACAAAGGUUUCCUCUGAACGGAUAGAAAUCGUAUCUAGAGUGUAAAGGCAUAAGGAAGCUUGACUGUGAGACCUACAAGUCGAGCAGGGACGAAAGUCGGUCUUAGUGAUCUGACGGUACUGAGUGGAAAGGCCGUCACUCAACGGAUAAAAGUUACUCUAGGAUAACAGGCUGAUCUCCCCCAAGAGUUCACAUCGACGGGGAGGUUUGGCACCUCGAUGUCGGCUCAUCGCAUCCUGGGGCGGUAGUACGUCCCAAGGGUUGGGCUGUUCGCCCAUGAAAGCGGUACGCGAGCUGGGUUCAGAACGUCGUGAGACAGUUCGGUCCAUAUCCGGUGUAGGCGUUAGAAUAUUGAGAGGAGCCUUCUUUAGUACGAGAGGACCGAGAAGGACACACCGCUGGUGUACCAGUUAUCGUGCCAACGGUAAACGCUGGGUAGCUAUGUGUGGAGUGGAUAACCGCUGAAAGCAUCUAAGUGGGAAGCCCACCUCAAGAUGAGUAUUCUCAGC